AGGAUCUGCCUUGCUGUCCACUGAAGUUGUACUUUCUAUCUCGCUGGUAUAUAUCUGGGCGUUCGUUUUUCUGUACGUUGUGUGUUCGGGUUACAGUGGAUGACGCCUGGGCCACCCUUCUGCAUGGGCCCUCUGUUGCAGUCAUGGUGAGCGCAUGCGCGCACGUUCAGCUCGAAAAGAGGAUGGGCCGCAACGACCGUGGGCUGCAGGGCGUGCGGUCAAAACCUAGCCCCCAAUCCCCUUCCGUCUCAAGCCCCGCACCCCACGCCCCGCUCCAUCUCCUCCCAUGCACUCCGCCGCCGCCAUGGCCCUCUCCUCCUCCCCUUGGUUUCUCUUCUCUUGGCAAAAGGACGGAGGGCGUUCAACUCGGCACGGCGAGCCAUGGGUGACACCUUCCUUCCUCUCCAAAGCAAGGGAAGGGAAGGGAAGGAGAGGGGAGGCCCCAGAUCGAGGAGCAGAGCGAUGCCCAGAUCCGCAGCGGCACCUGCACCGGCGCGUCGUCGUCCAAGUGGUCCUCGAGGAAGGCCAUGGAUGGAUGGAACGAUCGAUGGAUGGGGGCGGAACCCUAGCCCCACACCCACCCAUGGAUGAUGACGGCGGUGGCCUUCUCUUGGUCGGGUGGGGAGCGAAGCUUGCGGUGGCCCUCGACGCCCGCGACGGGCUGCAGCACCUAGACUUCAAAGGCAGGCCAUCACAAUGGAAAUGGAAGGAUGAGCACCAUGGCGGGCGUGCAGGCACGGUUUACACAAACACGUCCUGUUUCAAUGGCUCAAACUGUUGGUCCUCCCAUGGCAAUGUUCCCUGCUGGUGUUCAUGGAGUUAGUCAGCAACUUUUUUAUGAUCUGAGAAAGAAGAGAAGAAGAAUCCUGAGGAAGAUUUUGGUGAAGAACAAGACUUGUUUCACCGCAACCCCCACAAAAGGAGCAGCCUGGUGAGGAGGGAAAGCAUCACCAAUACAUAUAUUCCUCGUGAUCUUCACUAUGCGUGAAAUGACCUUCUAAUUACUGAAUCAGUGCUGAUUGUUCUAUCAUAGACCGGACAUGCUGAAUAAUGAGAACAUAUUGUUUGGUGCUACCAAUAUAUGUGUUGGCUACAGAGCCAUAGAAAUAAUGAUUGAUGGUCAAAUCCAUCUUUGCAUUUAAAGGAAUCAGAUUACCCAGAUCAUCCAUUCAUGGCAUCUUCUUGCGUUCAUGGAAGAUUUGGGAUGAUACAAUCCAACUGUUAUCUUUGGUGUGUUUUUGGAUGGACUAAUCUGAAGAUGCUGGCUAGCUUGCACUGCCAUCAUAUUGUCUAGAAGCAAGGGCAAGGAUUAUAGGGAUAAUAAAGGAAAUUCACCAUCCGGAGGAAAUGCCAACUAAUAUUUUUUGGUACUAUUUCUGUUACCGAGCCUACCUUAGCAGAUUCUUCAGUACUGAAUUCGGACCCGUGGAGGAAGCAAUAGUAAUUACCUUUUCUAGGAGUACUGAACUCGGACCUGUGGAUGGGAUUCCUAGAGUCAGUGUCAGAUCAUCAGUCUCCAAGAUCACCACUUACCGCCAGCAUGCUCCUUAUAACACUGACAGUCCACAUGGUGAUGCAUCAGUGAGAGCAAUGUCCAGAGCCAGCAUGAUGAUGAGUGCAGCAGAAGCAAUGGCGAAAGCCUGCCGGAUGGUGAAUCCACCUCAAAUGGUAGUUUACUUUAUGUGAUUACUGUGAGCAUACUGAAGUAUGAUUUGAUCUGAGUCAUCUGCAGCAAAGCCUGAUUUGAUUGUGUCUGGACCUCCUGAAAAAAUCGAACGAGGACCAUUACAGAAGCCUGAUUUGGUCGAGUCCGCACCUACAAAGAAACUUGAUUUGAUUGAGUCCAGUACUCAACCUGGGCCUGCAGAGGAGCUUCAUUUGGUUGAGUCCAGACCUUCUAGGAAUUCUCAACUGAUUGAGCCUGGACCUGCAAGGAAGCUUGAUUUUAAUCAACCCUGACCAACAACAUGCUUUGUUGAUCAUCCUGUUGAAAGGCCAGUAGUUACUCCAAUCAGCUACGAGAAUGAUAAUGAGAUUCUGUUUCCACUCACAGUGGGUCGCGGAUACAAGCAAGGGUGGCGCCAUAUGCCGAUUCCACAGCUCCGAGCUGCAGCGGGAGCUGCUGGGCCGCCUGAGAUGCAGAUGGAGGCGCAGCUCCUCCGAUCUGCUGGGUCGCUGAGAUGCAGAUGGAGCCGGAGCACCUCCGAGCUGCAGCAGGAGCCGCUCCGCUGCCAAGCUGUAGUGUGAUCCACCGCGAAGAUGGAGCCCAAGGUGUUCUCACUUCAGUACAGUGGGGAGAGGAACAUGACGCAUACCUUGAACUGGUCGAUGGAACCAAGACCAGCAGUCAUGCUAGACACGUGGUCAGCGCUGCGCGUCGUGGUGGCAGUUGGUGAAGCAAUUAUUGGCUGUGUUUUUGUCUCUCAGCACUUGGCAUGGUUGUAUUCUUUAUCUUUGAGGUCACGUGCACACACAAAUAGAAAUCCAAUUCAACAGUAACAGAUAAUAUUCUACUGCCGGCUCAAAAUUAUUACUAAUGAGAUA